rfam:Serratia symbiotica genome assembly, type strain CWBI-2.3T, contig: SYMBAF_Contig_5
CUUUCCGCGUUGAUUCUGGUUACAGGAAAAAGGUGGAAUUAUGGAUUUGUCUGAUCGCGCAACACGCAGCAAUGGCGUAAGACGUAAUGCGAAAUCACACAAUUAGCGGGCUGCGGGUUGUAGCUUGGGCGGCAAAUGGAAUCAGGUCUGUCAACGUUAAUCAGAAGCUAUUCCCCAAGUAAAAUUGCUGUCUUCACAAAGAAAUAUCGGCUUACCGAAAUAAUGCGCCCUUAUGCAGGCGACAACCGUGAGGUUGACGGCUUUGCAAGAAAAUUUGGGGUUUUCGGUUCUGAUCCGGCCAUGUGGUUAUUUUGCCCGCAGCUUUGUCGAUAA